ACGCACGCUGGCGGCGUGCUUAACACAUGCAAGUCGAACGGAAAGGCCCUGCUUUUGUGGGGUGCUCGAGUGGCGAACGGGUGAGUAACACGUGAGUAACCUGCCCUUGACUUUGGGAUAACUUCAGGAAACUGGGGCUAAUACCGGAUAGGAGCUCCUGCUGCAUGGUGGGGGUUGGAAAGUUUCGGCGGUUGGGGAUGGACUCGCGGCUUAUCAGCUUGUUGGUGGGGUAGUGGCUUACCAAGGCUUUGACGGGUAGCCGGCCUGAGAGGGUGACCGGCCACAUUGGGACUGAGAUACGGCCCAGACUCCUACGGGAGGCAGCAGUGGGGAAUAUUGCACAAUGGGCGGAAGCCUGAUGCAGCAACGCCGCGUGCGGGAUGACGGCCUUCGGGUUGUAAACCGCUUCCGCCUGUGACGAAGCGUGAGUGACGGUAAUGGGUAAAGAAGCACCGGCUAACUACGUG
rnacentral:rRNA from 1 species